UACGGGGGGGGCAAGCGUUGUUCGGAAUUACUGGGCGUCAAGGGCUCGUAGGUGGCCAACUAAGUCAGACGUGAAAUCCCUCAGCUUAACUGGGGAACUGCGUCUGAUACUGGAUGGCUUGAGUUUGGGAGAGGGACGCGGAAUUCCAGGUGUAGCGGUGAAAUGCGUAGAUAUCUGGAGGAACACCGGUGGCGAAGGCGGCGUCCUGGACCAACACUGACACUGAUGAGCGAAAGCCAGGGGAGCAAACGGG
rnacentral:rRNA from 1 species